rnacentral:rRNA from 1 species
CCUACGGGUGGCUGCAGUCGAGAAUCAUUCUCAAUGGGCGAACCCCUGAUGCUGCGACGCCGCGUGGGGGAAUGAUGGUCUUUGGAUUGUAAACCUCUGUCAUGUGGGAGCAAAUUAAAAAGAUAGUACCACAAUAGGAAGAGACGGCUAACUCUGUGCCAGCAGCCGCGGUACUACAGCGGUCUGAAGCGUUGUUCGGAAUCACUGGGCGUAAAGUGUGCGGAGGCUGUUUCGUAAGUCGGGUGUGAAAGGCGCGGGCUUAACCCGCGGACGGCACCUGAUACUGCGAGACUAGAGUAAUGGAGGGGGAACCGGAAUUCGCGGUGUAGCAGUGAAAUGCGUAGAUAUCGCGAAGAACACUCGUGGCGAAGGCAGGUUCCUGGACAUUAACUGACGCUGAGGCACGAAGGCCAGGGGAGCGAAAGGGAUUAGAUACCCGGGUAGUC